GGCGGGGUGGGUGAGUGGCUAAAACCACCGGGCUGUAAACUCGGCGCCCUGACAGGGCUACGCAGGUUCGAAUCCUGCCCCCGCCACCA
rnacentral:tRNA from 1 species